rnacentral:tRNA from 1 species
GGGGCAUUGGCGCAGCUGGUAGCGCACCUGCUUUGCAAGCAGGGGGUCAGGGGUUCGAAUCCCCUAUGCUCCACCA